CCUACGGGAGGCAGCAGUGGGGAAUAUUGCACAAUGGGGGAAACCCUGAUGCAGCGACGCCGCGUGAGUGAAGAAGUAUUUCGGUAUGUAAAGCUCUAUCAGCAGGGAAGAAAUAAAGUCCAUCGGACUCUGGACGGUACCUGACUAAGAAGCCGCGGCUAACUACGUGCCAGCAGCAGCGGUAAUACGUAGGGGGCAAGCGUUAUCCGGAUUUACUGGGUGUAAAGGGAGCGUAGACGGCAGCGCAAGUCUGGAGUGAAAUCCCAUGGCUUAACCAUGGAACUGCUUUGGAAACUGUGCAGCUUGAGUGCAGGAGAGGUAAGCGGAAUUCCUAGUGUAGCGGUGAAAUGCGUAGAUAUUAGGAGGAACACCAGUGGCGAAGGCAGCUUACUGGACUGUAACUGACGUUGAGGCUCGAAAGCGUGGGGAGCAAACAGGAUUAGAUACCCCUGUAGUC
rnacentral:rRNA from 1 species